GCGGCAGAUCAGUACGCCUGCAAGAGCAAUCACAGCGAGUGCGUCGACUCCACCAAUGGGACUGGCUAUGCCUGUAAGUGCUCCCAAGGCUACGAGGGCAACCCCUACCUUGUCGGCGAAAGCGGAUGCACCGAUAUCAAUGAAUGCGACGAUCAAGGGAAGUAUCCUUGCUGGCAGCCAGGAAUAUGUGCGAACAACGAAGGAUCUUAUGACUGCACCUGUCCUCCGGGUUAUCGUAACCAUGACGCCAAAAUAGAAAAGUGUACCUUACUUCCUUCAAGUUUCCCACUGGCAGCAAAGAUCUCCAUAGGUGUCAUUUUGGGCUCCUCCUUAUUAGUUGUUGCUCUACUUUCGACGCUACUGAGGCUCCAAAGGAAAAGAACGAAGGGCUUUUUUAAGAAGAAUGGAGGUUUGGUCCUUU